rnacentral:rRNA from 1 species
AGUGAACGCUGGCGGUAGGCCUAACACAUGCAAGUCGAACGGCAGCACGGGAGAGCUUGCUCUCUGGGUGGCGAGUGGCGGACGGGUGAGGAAUACAUCGGAAUCUACUCUGUCGUGGGGGAUAACGUAGGGAAACUUACGCUAAUACCGCAUACGACCUACGGGUGAAAGCAGGGGAUCUUCGGACCUUGCGCGAUUGAAUGAGUCGAUGUCGGAUUAGCUAGUUGGCGGGGUAAAGGCCCACCAAGGCGACGAUCCGUAGCUGGUCUGAGAGGAUGAUCAGCCACACUGGAACUGAGACACGGUCCAGACUCCUACGGGAGGCAGCAGUGGGGAAUAUUGGACAAUGGGCGCAAGCCUGAUCCAGCCAUACCGCGUGGGUGAAGAAGGCCUUCGGGUUGUAAAGCCCUUUUGUUGGGAAAGAAAUCCAGCUGGCUAAUACCCGGUUGGGAUGACGGUACCCAAAGAAUAAGCACCGGCUAACUUCGUGCCAGCCGCCGCAGUAA